AUUUCGAUAGCUAAAAUAUAGAGCAGAGCAUUGAAGGUGCUAAGAUAACAAAAUAUGUUUUGAAAUA
rnacentral:tRNA from 1 species